rnacentral:rRNA from 1 species
AGAGUUUGAUCCUGGCUCAGGAUGAACGCUAGCGGCAGGCCUAAUACAUGCAAGUCGAACGGUAACAUGAGAGCUUGCUCUUGAUGACGAGUGGCGCACGGGUGCGUAACGCGUAUGCAACCUACCCUUUACUGGAGGAUAGCCCGGAGAAAUUCGGAUUAAUACUCCAUAGUACUAUAAUAUAGCAUUAUAUAAUAGUUAAAGAUUUAUUGGUAAAGGAUGGGCAUGCGUGACAUUAGUUAGUUGGUGAGGUAACGGCUCACCAAGACGAUGAUGUCUAGGGGUUCUGAGAGGAUGAUCCCCCACACUGGUACUGAGACACGGACCAGACUCCUACGGGAGGCAGCAGUAGGGAAUAUUGGUCAAUGGGCGAGAGCCUGAACCAGCCAUGCCGCGUGUAGGAAGACGGCCUUCUGGGUUGUAAACUACUUUUAUAUAGGAACAAAUAGACCAUGCGUGGUAAGUUGAGUGUACUAUAUGAAUAAGCACCGGCUAACUCCGUGCCAGCAGCCGCGGUAAUACGGAGGGUGCAAGCGUUAAUCGGAAUUACUGGGCGUAAAGGGUACGUAGGCGGUUAUUUAAGUUGGAUGUGAAAGCCCUGGGCUCAACCUAGGAACUGCAUCCAAAACUGAAUAACUAGAGUGUAUAAGAGGUUAGCGGAAUUCCAGGUGUAGCAGUGAAAUGCGUAGAUAUCUGGAGGAACAUCAGUGGCGAAGGCGGCUAACUGGUAUAACACUGACGCUGAGGUACGAAAGCGUGGGGAGCGAACGGGAUUAGAUACCCCGGUAGUCCACGCCCUAAACGAUGAGAACUAGCUGUUGGUUGCGUAAAUGCAGUCAGUAGCGAAGCUAACGCGUUAAGUUCUCCGCCUGGGGAGUACGACCGCAAGGUUGAAACUCAAAGGAAUUGACGGGGGCCCGCACAAGCGGUGGAGCAUGUGGUUUAAUUCGAUGCAACGCGAAGAACCUUACCAUCCCUUGACAUCCUGAGAAUUUCUCGUAAUGAGAAAGUGCCUUCGGGAACUCAGUGACAGGUGCUGCACGGCUGUCGUCAGCUCGUGUCGUGAGAUGUUGGGUUAAGUCCCGCAACGAGCGCAACCCCUAUCUUUAGUUGCCAGCACGUAAUGGUGGGAACUCUAGAGAGACUGCCGGUGAUAAGCCGGAGGAAGGUGGGGACGACGUCAAGUCAUCAUGGCCCUUACGGGAUGGGCUACACACGUGCUACAAUGGUACAUACAGAGGGUUGCCAACCAGCGAUGGGGAGCCAAUCCCAGAAAAUGUAUCUUAGUCCGGAUCGCAGUCUGCAACUCGACUGCGUGAAGUUGGAAUCGCUAGUAAUCGCGAAUCAGCAACGUCGCGGUGAAUACGUUCCCGGGCCUUGUACACACCGCCCGUCACACCAUGGGAGUGGGUUGCACCAGAAGUAGCUAGACUAACCUUCGGGAGGUCGGUUACCACGGUGUGGUUCAUGACUGGGGUGAAGUCGUAACAAGGUAGCC